CCUACGGGAGGCUGCAGUGGGGAAUAUUGGGCAAUGGGCGCAAGCCUGACCCAGCAACGCCGCGUGAAGGAAGAAGGCUUUCGGGUUGUAAACUUCUUUUAAGGGGGAAGAGCAGAAGACGGUACCCCUUGAAUAAGCCACGGCUAACAACGUGCCAGCAGCCGUGGUAAUUCGGAGGUGGCAAGCGUUGUCCGGAUUUACUUGGGGGAAAGGGCGUGCAGGCGGAGGGACAAGUCAGAUGUGAAAUCCACGGGCUCAACCCGUGAACUGCAUUUGAAACUGUUUCCCUUGAGUGUCGGAGAGGUAAUCAGAAUUCCUUGUGUAGCGGUGAAAUGCGUAGAUAUGAGGAAGAACACCAGUGGCGAAGGCGGAUUACUGGACGAUAACUGACGGUGAGGCGCGAAAGCGUGGGGAGCAAACAGGAUUAGAUACCCGGGUAGUC
rnacentral:rRNA from 1 species